UACAGAGGUGGCAAGCGUUGUUCGGAAUUACUGGGCGUAAAGGGCUCGUAGGCGGCCAACUAAGUCAGACGUGAAAUCCCUCGGCUUAACCGGGGAACUGCGUCUGAUACUGGAUGGCUUGAGAUUGGGAGAGGGAUGCGGAAUUCCAGGUGUAGCGGUGAAAUGCGUAGAUAUCUGGAGGAACACCGGUGGCGAAGGCGGCAUCCUGGACCAACACUGACGCUGAGGAGCGAAAGCCAGGGGAGCAAAGCGGG
rnacentral:rRNA from 1 species